rnacentral:rRNA from 2 species
GGGUUGUGAGGUUAAGCGACUAAGCGUACACGGUGGAUGCCCUGGCAGUCAGAGGCGAUGAAGGGCGUGCUAAUCUGCGAUAAGCGCCGGUAAGGUGAUAUGAACCGUUAUAACCGGCGAUACCCGAAUGGGGAAACCCAGUGUGACUCGUCACACUAUCAUUAACUGAAUCCAUAGGUUAAUGAGGCGAACCGGGGGAACUGAAACAUCUAAGUACCCCGA